rnacentral:rRNA from 1 species
GACGAACGCUGGCGGCGUGCUUAACACAUGCAAGUCGAACGAGAAUCUGUGGAAAGAGGAUUCGUCCAAUUGAAGCAGAGGACAGUGGCGGACGGGUGAGUAACGCGUGAGGAACCUGCCUUUCAGAGGGGGACAACAGUUGGAAACGACUGCUAAUACCGCAUAACAUAUAGAUGUCGCAUGGCAUUUAUAUCAAAGAUUUAUCGCUGAAAGAUGGCCUCGCGUCUGAUUAGCUAGUUGGUGAGGUAACGGCCCGCCAAGGCGACGAUCAGUAGCCGGACUGAGAGGUUGAACGGCCACAUUGGGACUGAGAUACGGCCCAGACUCCUACGGGAGGCAGCAGUGGGAAGUAUUGCACAAUGGGCGCAAGCCUGAUGCAGCGACGCCGCGUGAAGGAUGAAGUAUUUCGGUAUGUAAACUUCUAUCAGCAGGGAAGAAAAU